AUUGAACGCUGGCGGCAGGCCUAACACAUGCAAGUCGAGCGAGUGGCGGACGGGUGAGUAAUGUAUGGGAAUCUGCCCGAUGGAGGGGGAUAACUACUGGAAACGGUGGCUAAUACCGCAUACUAUCGGAUGAACCCAGAUGGGAUUAGCUAGUAGGUGGGGUAAAGGCUCACCUAGGCGACGAUCCCUAGCUGGUCUGAGAGGAUGAACAGCCACACUGGAACUGAGACACGGUCCAGACUCCUACGGGAGGCAGCAGUGGGGAAUAUUGCACAAUGGGCGCAAGCCUGAUGCAGCCAUGCCGCGUGUAUGAAGAAGGCCUUCGGGUUGUAAAGUACUUUCAGCGGGGAGGCGUUACCCGCAGAAGAAGCACCGGCUAACUCCGUGCCAGCAGCCGCGGUAAUAC
rnacentral:rRNA from 1 species